AUGGAAGGCUGACUAGAGAUUCAUCGGUAUGGGAUGAGCUUGCGUCCGAUUAGCUAGUUGGCGGGGCAACGGCCCACCAAGGCGACGAUCGGUAGCCGGCCUGAGAGGGUGAUCGGCCACAUUGGGACUGAGAUACGGCCCAGACUCCUACGGGAGGCAGCAGUAGGGAAUAUUGCACAAUGGGGGAAACCCUGAUGCAGCAACGCCACGUGUGGGAAGAAGCAUUUCGGUGUGUAAACCACUGUCAUGAGGGUAUAAGGCCCUUAUCCGUAAGGGAUUGAAUGUACCUUGAGAGGAAGCACCGGCAAACUUCGUGCCAGCAGCCGCGGUAAUACGAGGGGUGCAAGCGNUGUUCGGAAUUACUGGGCGUAAGGGGAGCGUAGGCGGAGAUUCAUGCGGAUUGUACAAUCCCGGGGCCC
rnacentral:rRNA from 1 species